UGGCGGACGGGUGAGUAAUGUCUGGGAAACUGCCCGAUGAGGGGGGAUAACUACUGGAAACGGUAGCUAAUACCGCAUAACGUCGCAAGACCAAAGAGGGGGACCUUCGGGCCUCUUGCCAUCGGAUGUGCCCAGAUGGGAUUAGCUAGUAGGUGGGGUAACGGCUCACCUAGGCGACGAUCCCUAGCUGGUCUGAGAGGAUGACCAGCCACACUGGAACUGAGACACGGUCCAG
rnacentral:rRNA from 1 species